AGUUCUACAACCAAGAUACCCUCGCAGCAAAGUUGCCCUUGAUAACAAGUCGACUCGCUCCUAGAGUCCUCCUGGCAAACACGAUCCCCGUCCAAGUCACACGGAACUCUACCCCGCUACCAAUCUGGAGUCGAGCCCGUGAAUCACAAUGCUGGCUCCACCAUGCCUGCCUCUAACACUCCAUUAAAGUUGACCUUCAGAAACGACGGAAAAAGAGGCUCCUAAAAGAUGAACAUUCGAUGGAUCGCUACACUCC
rnacentral:lncRNA from 1 species